rnacentral:rRNA from 1 species
GCCAUACGACGUUGUAAGCACAACAUUUCAUCUGAACUGUCAAGUUAACGCAACGCUGAGCCUGACUGGUACCUGGAUUGGGGACGGCCUGGGAGUUUCAGAUGC